CCUACGGGGGGCAGCAGUGGGGAAUAUUGCACAAUGGGCGCAAGCCUGAUGCAGCCAUGCCGCGUGUGUGAAGAAGGCCUUCGGGUUGUAAAGCACUUUCAGCGGGGAGGAAGGCGGUGAGGUUAAUAACCUCAUCGAUUGACGUUACCCGCAGAAGAAGCACCGGCUAACUCCGUGCCAGCAGCCGCGGUAAUACGGAGGGUGCAAGCGUUAAUCGGAAUUACUGGGCGUAAAGCGCACGCAGGCGGUCUGUCGAGUCGGAUGUGAAAUCCCCGGGCUCAACCUGGGAACUGCAUUCGAAACUGGCAGGCUAGAGUCUUGUAGAGGGGGGUAGAAUUCCAGGUGUAGCGGUGAAAUGCGUAGAGAUCUGGAGGAAUACCGGUGGCGAGGGCGGCCCCCUGGACAAAGACUGACGCUCAGGUGCGAAAGCGUGGGGAGCAAACAGGAUUAGAUACCCGGGUAGUC
rnacentral:rRNA from 1 species